UUGAUGAAUUUGCUAUUUGUGUUAUCC
rnacentral:sRNA from 1 species